rnacentral:rRNA from 1 species
AUUUAGAGGAAGUAAAAGUCGUAACAAGGUCUCCGUUGGUGAACCAGCGGAGGGAUCAUUACUGAGUUUACGCUCUACAACCCUUUGUGAACAUACCUAUAACUGUUGCUUCGGCGGGUAGGGUCUCCGCGACCCUCCCGGCCUCCCGCCUCCGGGCGGGUCGGCGCCCGCCGGAGGAUAACCAAACUCUGAUUUAACGACGUUUCUUCUGAGUGGUACAAGCAAAUAAUCAAAACUUUUAACAACGGAUCUCUUGGUUCUGGCAUCGAUGAAGAACGCAGCGAAAUGCGAUAAGUAAUGUGAAUUGCAGAAUUCAGUGAAUCAUCGAAUCUUUGAACGCACAUUGCGCCCGCCAGCAUUCUGGCGGGCAUGCCUGUUCGAGCGUCAUUUCAACCCUCAAGCUCUGCUUGGUGUUGGGGCCCUACAGCCGAUGUAGGCCCUCAAAGGUAGUGGCGGACCCUCCCGGAGCCUCCUUUGCGUAGUAACUUUACGUCUCGCACUGGGAUCCGGAGGGACUCUUGCCGUAAAACCCCCCAAUUUUCCAAAGGUUGACCUCGGAUCAGGUAGGAAUACCCGCUGAACUUAAGCAUAUCAAUAA